rnacentral:ncRNA from 1 species
UGCUUUGGCUAGGGGAGCCGCAAGGCUGAGAAGGGCAAGGCCCGACCCUUGGACCUGAUGCAGGUAAUGCUGCCGUAGGAAAGCCGGUUGAAGACAUU